rnacentral:rRNA from 1 species
AGAGUUUGAUCCUGGCUCAGGACGAACGCUGGCGGCGCGCUUAACACAUGCACGUCGAGCGAGAACCCAGGCUUCGGCCUGGGGGAAAGCGGCGAACGGGUGAGUAACACGUGGGUAAUCUGCCCUCGACAUCGGGAUAGCCCGGGGAAACCCGGAUUAAUACCGAAUGGCCCAUCAGCUUUCGGAGCGGAUGGAAAAGGUAGCUUCGGCCUCCGGUCGAGGAGGAGCCCGCGGCGGAUUAGCUUGUUGGUGAGGUAACGGCUCACCAAGGCUACGAUCCGUAGCUGGUCUGAGAGGACGAUCAGCCACACUGGGACUGAGACACGGCCCAGACUCCUACGGGAGGCAGCAGUGGGGAAUCUUGCGCAAUGGGCGAAAGCCUGACGCUGCGACGCCGCGUGAGGGAAGAAGGCCUUCGGGUUGUAAACCUCUUACAGGAGGGACGAAGCCACUCGGGUUAAUAGCCCAGAGGGUGACGGUACCUCCAGAAGAGUUA